rnacentral:miRNA from 1 species
UCAGCGUCGUUGCUUGAUCCAU